CUCUGCUGGUUUGGCUUCACCGGCGUCUUCCAGAGAAGACGAGGUCCUCUGAAGAAGCAGCCGCCGUUGCCCUGGGCCCUGUUGGACCCCCUCCUGGUGGAGACUGAGAGAGCCAAAGGCUUACGUUCCAGCCUGCGUUCAGCAAGGGGUGGCUGUGUGAUGGAGUUGCGGAGGACGAGACCCUGUGAGCCAGGACAGGACAGGAUAUGCUGCGGUCACACACGGCCCCUGGCUUAUUAGUAGUUUAGCACAACAGGGUGUUGUGCUCACUCAUGGUGCACGCCGCUGUGGGUCUACUGGGGACUCUGUUCCACAGUGUCCCUUGGGAGCUCUCUUCCUUCUGCCCAUCUGGAACAUUCAAUUCCUGAGGCUGCCACCACAGGAAUGAGGAAGAUGGAGGACCUUUCAGGAAAAAAUUAAACAAAGACCAGACCCAGGAUUGAGACUCUUUGUGGGGAUUUCACUGAAGGGGGAAAUCAUGAGCCCAAGCCAUGCUCAUGAAGACCUGCAGCAUCUGUUUCCUUGAGACCGUGGAGGAGACGAGAGCUCGAAGGAAAAAGCAGCAUCAAUGAGACGGUGGUGUGCACCCAGGCUGAUGCGGUCAAGGGGCCCAGGGCCAGGCGUGGACAUGCGCAGCUUGUGCAUAAGCUGCCUAUUCUCAGCCAAGAAGUGCGUUUUGCCUCAGGGUUUUCCUGUAGGAACGGCAUCAAUAAUCUCUGCCUCACUAUGUCACGGGGAAUUUGUAGGAAUUAAACGAGAUUCAGU